GACGAACGCUGGCGGCGUGCCUAAUACAUGCAAGUAGAACGCUGAAGAGAGGAGCUUGCUCUUCUUGGAUGAGUUGCGAACGGGUGAGUAACGCGUAGGUAACCUGCCUGGUAGCGGGGGAUAACUAUUGGAAACGAUAGCUAAUACCGCAUAAAAUGGAUUAUCGCAUGAUAAUCCAUUGAAAGGUGCAAAUGCAUCACUACCAGAUGGACCUGCGUUGCAUUAGCUAGUUGGUGGGGUAACGGCUCACCAAGGCGACGAUACAUAGCCGACCUGAGAGGGUGAUCGGCCACACUGGGACUGAGACACGGCCCAGACUCCUACGGGAGGCAGCAGUAGGGAAUCUUCGGCAAUGGACGGAAGUCUGACCGAGCAACGCCGCGUGAGUGAAGAAGGUUUUCGGAUCGUAAAGCUCUGUUGUAAGAGAAGAACGAGUGUGAGAGUGGAAAGUUCACACUGUGACGGUAUCUUACCAGAAAGGGACGGCUAACUACGUG
rnacentral:rRNA from 1 species